rnacentral:rRNA from 1 species
GCCGCCGCGGUAAUACGGAGGAUGCGAGCGUUAUCCGGAUUUAUUGGGUUUAAAGGGUGCGUAGGCGGCGCGUCAAGCCGGUGGUAAAAUUGCGGGGCUCAACCCCGUAGAGCCAUCGGAACUGGCGUGCUUGAGUGGAGAAGAAGUAUGCGGAAUGCGAGGUGUAGCGGUGAAAUGCAUAGAUAUCGCGCAGAACUCCGAUUGCGAAGGCAGCGUACUAUUCUCCAACUGACGCUGAGGCACGAAAGCGUGGGGAUCGAACAGGAUUAGAUACCCC